rnacentral:rRNA from 1 species
GACGAACGCUGGCGGCGUGCUUAACACAUGCAAGUCGAGCGGAAAGGCCACUUCGGUGGUACUCGAGCGGCGAACGGGUGAGUAACACGUGAGUAAUCUGCCCUUGGCUUUGGGAUAGCCACCGGAAACGGUGAUUAAUACCGGAUACGACCACUUCUCGCAUGGGAUGGUGGUGGAAAGUUUUUCGGCCAGGGAUGUGCUCGCGGCCUAUCAGCUUGAUGGUGAGGUAAUGGCUCACCAUGGCUUCGACGGGUAGCCGGCCUGAGAGGGUGGCCGGUCACACUGGGACUGGGACACGGCCCAGACUCCUACGGGAGGCAGCAGUGGGGAAUAUUGGACAAUGGGCGGAAGCCUGAUCCAGCAACGCCGCGUGAGGGAUGACGGCCUUCGGGUUGUAAACCUCUUUCGGUGGGGACGAAGCGCAAGUGACGGUACCCACUAAAGAAGCACCGGCCAACUACGUGCCAGCCGCCGCCGUAAUAC